UACGGAGGGAGCUAGCGUUGUUCGGAAUUACUGGGCGUAAAGCGCACGUAGGCGGCUUUGUAAGUUAGAGGUGAAAGCCCGGGGCUCAACUCCGGAACUGCCUUUAAGACUGCAUCGCUUGAAUCCGGGAGAGGUGAGUGGAAUUCCGAGUGUAGAGGUGAAAUUCGUAGAUAUUAGGAAGAACACCAGUGGCGAAGGCGGCUCACUGGUCCGGUACUGACGCUGAGGUGCGAAAGCGUGGGGAGCAAACAGG
rnacentral:rRNA from 1 species